rnacentral:rRNA from 1 species
GAUGAACGCUGGCGGCGUGCCUAAUACAUGCAAGUCGAGCGAACGGACGAGAAGCUUGCUUCUCUGAUGUUAGCGGCGGACGGGUGAGUAACACGUGGAUAACCUACCUAUAAGACUGGGAUAACUUCGGGAAACCGGAGCUAAUACCGGAUAAUAUUUUGAACCGCAUGGUUCAAAAGUGAAAGACGGUCUUGCUGUCACUUAUAGAUGGAUCCGCGCUGCAUUAGCUAGUUGGUAAGGUAACGGCUUACCAAGGCAACGAUGCAUAGCCGACCUGAGAGGGUGAUCGGCCACCCGAGAGCUGAGACACGGUCCAUGCUCCUACGGGAGGGAGCAGUAGGGAAUCGUCCGCAGAGGGCGAAAGCCUGACGGAGCAACGCCGCGUGUGUGAUGAAGGUGUUCGGAUCGUAAUACUCUGUUAUGAGUGAAGAACAGAUGUGUAAGUUACUGUGCCCAUCGUGACGGUACCUAAUCAGAAAGCCACGGCUAACUACGUG